rnacentral:rRNA from 1 species
GACGAACGCUGGCGGCGUGCUUAACACAUGCAAGUCGAACGGAAAGGCCCUGCUUUUGUGGGGUGCUCGAGUGGCGAACGGGUGAGUAACACGUGAGUAACCUGCCCUUGACUUUGGGAUAACUUCAGGAAACUGGGGCUAAUACCGGAUAGGAGCUCCUGCUGCAUGGUGGGGGUUGGAAAGUUUCGGCGGUUGGGGAUGGACUCGCGGCUUAUCAGCUUGUUGGUGGGGUAGUGGCUUACCAAGGCUUUGACGGGUAGCCGGCCUGAGAGGGUGACCGGCCACAUUGGGACUGAGAUACGGCCCAGACUCCUACGGGAGGCAGCAGUGGGGAAUAUUGCACAAUGGGCGGAAGCCUGAUGCAGCAACGCCGCGUGCGGGAUGACGGCCUUCGGGUUGUAAACCGCUUUCGCCUGCGACGAAGCGUGAGUGACGGUAAUGGGCAAAGAAGCACCGGCUAACUACGUG